AUUGAACGCUGGCGGCAUGCCUUACACAUGCAAGUCGAACGGUAACGCGGGGCAACCUGGCGACGAGUGGCGAACGGGUGAGUAAAGUAUCGGAACGUGCCCAAUAGUGGGGGAUAGCCCGGCGAAAGCCGGAUUAAUACCGCAUGAGACCUGAGGGUGAAAGCGGGGGACUCGCAAGAGCCUCGCGCUGUUGGAGCGGCCGAUAUCAGAUUAGGUAGUUGGUGGGGUAAAGGCCUACCAAGCCGACGAUCUGUAGCUGGUCUGAGAGGACGACCAGCCACACUGGGACUGAGACACGGCCCAGACUCCUACGGGAGGCAGCAGUGGGGAAUUUUGGACAAUGGGCGCAAGCCUGAUCCAGCCAUGCCGCGUGCGGGAAGAAGGCCUUCGGGUUGUAAACCGCUUUUGUCAGGGAAGAAAUCCUUUGAGCUAAUACCUCGGAGGGAUGACGGUACCUGAAGAAUAAGCACCGGCUAACUACGUG
rnacentral:rRNA from 1 species